GAGGGUAUAGCUCAAGUGGUAAGAAUGCAUGCUUGGGAUGCACGAGGUCCUGGGUUCAAUCCUCAGUACCUCCA
rnacentral:tRNA from 1 species